GACGAACGCUGGCGGCGUGCCUAACACAUGCAAGUCGAGCGGAGAUUGCAGCAAUGUAAUCUUAGCGGCGGACGGGUGAGUAACGCGUGGGCAACCUGCCUUUAUCUGGGGGAUAACACAGGGAAACUUGUGCUAAUACCGCAUAACAUCAUGAAGAGACAUCUUUUUAUGAUCAAAGGAGUAAUCCGGAUAGAGAUGGGCCCGCGUCCGAUUAGAUAGUUGGUGGUGUAACGGACCACCAAGACGACGAUCGGUAGCCGAACUGAGAGGGUGAUCGGCCACAUUGGGACUGAGACACGGCCCAGACUCCUACGGGAGGCAGCAGUGGGGAAUAUUGCGCAAUGGGGGAAACCCUGACGCAGCAACGCCGCGUGAAGGAUGAAGGUUUUCGGAUCGUAAACUUCUUUGAUGAGGGACGAAUAAACGACGGUACCUCAAAAACAAGCCACGGCUAACUACGUGCCAGCAGCCGCCGUAA
rnacentral:rRNA from 1 species